GAACGCUAGCGGCAGGCCUAACACAUGCAAGUCGAGGGGUAACAGGGAGCUUGCUCCGCUGACGACCGGCGCACGGGUGCGCACCGCGUAUGGAACCUACCUUGUACAGGGGAAUAGCCCAGGGAAACUUGGAUUAAUGCCCCGUGGUACCACGACCCGGCAUCGGGAUGUGGUUAAAGCCUUCGGGCGGUAUAAGAUGGCCAUGCGUCCCAUUAGCUUGUUGGUAAGGUAACGGCUUACCAAGGCUACGAUGGGUAGGGGCCCUGAGAGGGGGAUCCCCCACACUGGUACUGAGACACGGACCAGACUCCUACGGGAGGCAGCAGUGAGGAAUAUUGGACAAUGGAGGAGACUCUGAUCCAGCCAUGCCGCGUGCAGGAAGAAUGCCCUAUGGGUAGUAAACUGCUUUUAUACGGAAGAAAAAGGGGCACGUGUGCCCUACUGACGGUACCGUAAGAAUAAGGACCGGCUAACUCCGUGCCACAGCCGCGGUAAUACGGAGGGUCCGAGCGUUAUCCGGAAUUAUUGGGUUUAAAGGGUCCGUAGGCGGGCCGAUAAGUCAGGGGUGAAAGUUUGCAGCUCAACUGUAAAAUUGCCUUUGAUACUGUUGGUCUUGAGUUAUAGUGAAGUUGCCGGAAUAUGUAGUGUAGCGGUGAAAUGCAUAGAUAUUACAUAGAACACCGAUUGCGAAGGCAGGUGACUAACUAUAUACUGACGCUGAUGGACGAAAGCGUGGGGAGCGAACAGGAUUAGAUACCCUGGUAGUCCACGCCGUAAACGAUGGAUACUAGCUGUCCGGGACCUUGAGUUCUGGGCGGCCAAGCGAAAGUGAUAAGUAUCCCACCUGGGGAGUACGUUCGCAAGAAUGAAACUCAAAGGAAUUGACGGGGGCCCGCACAAGCGGUGGAGCAUGUGGUUUAAUUCGAUGAUACGCGAGGAACCUUACCAGGGCUUAAAUGCAUUUUGACAGGGGUAGAGAUACCUUUUCCUUCGGGCAAUUUGCAAGGUGCUGCAUGGUUGUCGUCAGCUCGUGCCGUGAGGUGUCAGGUUAAGUCCUAUAACGAGCGCAACCCCUACCGUUAGUUGCCAGCAUGUCAUGAUGGGGACUCUAACGGGACUGCCGGUGCAAACCGUGAGGAAGGUGGGGAUGACGUCAAAUCAUCACGGCCCUUACGUCCUGGGCCACACACGUGCUACAAUGGCAGGUACAGAGAGCAGCCAUGUCGCAAGGCAGAGCGAAUCUAUAAAACCUGUCACAGUUCGGAUCGGGGUCUGCAACUCGACCCCGUGAAGCUGGAAUCGCUAGUAAUCGGAUAUCAGCCAUGAUCCGGUGAAUACGUUCCCGGGCCUUGUACACACCGCCCGUCAAGCCAUGGAAGCCGGGAGUGCCUGAAGUCCGUCACCGUAAGGAGCGGCCUAGGGCAAGAUCGGUAACUAGG
rnacentral:rRNA from 1 species